ACAUAGCUUAAAGAAAUAAAUUUUAAGUUUAAUCUGCCCAGUGAAUAUUUAACGGCUGCGGUACCCUGACCGUACUAAGGUAGCAUAAUCAAUUGGCUUUUAAAUGGAGUCUAGAAUGAAUGAGAGAUUGGAGUUUAACUUUCUUAAAUAAAUUUUAUUGAAUUUACUGUAAAAGUGAAAAAGCUUUUUUAUGAAAAUAGACGAGAAGACCCUUGGAGUUUAAUAAAAUAUUUGUUGGGGCGACAUUAAAAAUUUAACUUUUAAAAAUUUUUAAUAAUCAAAUUUUUAAUUAUAAUUAAAAAGCUACCCAAAGGGAUAACAGCAUAAAUUCUUUUGAGAUUGUGAACCUCGAAUGUUGGGAACUAGGAAAAAUAAUAACUAGCAGUUAUUAUUUUAGGUUCUGUUCGAACUAUUAUCUCCUACGUGAUCU
rnacentral:rRNA from 1 species